UGGGGAAUAUUACACAAUGGAGGAAACUCUGAUGUAGCAACGCCGCGUGGAGGAUGACACAUUUCGGUGCGUAAACUCCUUUUAUGUGAGAAGAUAAUGACGGUAUCACAUGAAUAAGCACCGGCUAACUCCGUGCCAGCAGCCGCGGUAAUACGGAGGGUGCAAGCGUUACUCGGAAUCACUGGGCGUAAAGCGCGCGCAGGCGGCUUUGUAAGUUGGAUGUGAAAUCCUAUGGCUCAACCAUAGAACUGCAUCCAAAACUACUUAGCUAGAGUCUGGGAGGGGAAGAUGGAAUUAGUGGUGUAGGGGUAAAAUCCGUAGAGAUCACUAGGAAUACCAAAAGCGAAGGCGAUCUUCUGGAACAGUACUGACGCUGAGGCGCGAAAGCGUGGGGAGCAAACAG
rnacentral:rRNA from 1 species